GAACUUUAAAAGGGUGGACCCAAAACUCAGUUUUUGUUUAUUCCGCUAUUUUGAUUGAUGUUUUUGUAAAGCAGUGAACCUUAAAAACGCGUAUAAGCUUUAUUUAAGAUGUUCAAGAGAUCAGAGCCGAAGAGCUCUUGCCAACAGAAGUAAUGGACAAGCUAA